UACGAAGGGGGCUAGCGUUGCUCGGAAUUACUGGGCGUAAAGCGCACGUAGGCGGAUCUUUAAGUCAGGGGUGAAAUCCUGGAGCUCAACUCCAGAACUGCCUUUGAUACUGAGGACCUUGAGUUCGGGAGAGGUGAGUGGAACUGCGAGUGUAGUGGUGAAAUGCGUAGAGAUCGGCAGGAACACCCAGGGGGAAACCAGCCGACUGGGCAUUUGCUGACGCUGAGGUGCGAGAGCGUGGGGAGCGAACAGG
rnacentral:rRNA from 1 species